rnacentral:rRNA from 1 species
GACGAACGCUGGCGGCGUGCUUAACACAUGCAAGUCGAACGGACAGGCCCUGCGUUUGUUGGUUGCUCGAGUGGCGAACGCGUGUGUAACACGUGAGUAUCCUGUCCCUGACUUUGUGAUAACUUUAGGAAACUCGGGCUAAUACCGCGUAUGAGCUCCUGCUGCAUGUUGGGGGUUGGAAAGUGUCGGCGGUAGUGUCUGGUCUCGCUGCUUAUCAGCUUGUUGGUGGAGUAGUGGCUGACCAAGGCUUUGACGGGUAGCCGGCAUGAGAGGGUGACCGGCCACAAUGGGACUGAGAUACGGAGCAGACUGCUACGGGAGGCAGCAGGGGAGAAUAUUGCACAAUGGGCGGAAGCGUGAUGCAGCAACGCCGCGUGCGGGAUGACGGCCUUCGGGUUGUAAACCGCUUUCGCCUGUGACGAAGCGUGAGUGACGGUAAUGGGUAAAGAAGCACCGGCUAACUACGUG